rnacentral:rRNA from 1 species
UAAUAUGUACAUGCCUACAACGUUAAUGCAUCAUAUCCCAUUAGAACUUUGUAGUUAAGUGCUCUUGGGGUAGAGUAGUACUAGGAUGGGUGACCUCAUGGGAAGUCUCCUCUCACUCC